rnacentral:hammerhead_ribozyme from 1 species
AUCCUGAUGACGAGUCCCAAGUAGGACGAAACAAGCUCCUGGAU